AAUAGAUACCCCGGUAGUCCACGCCGUAAACGAUAAGUGCUAGGUGUUAGGGGGUUUCCGCCCCUUAGUGCUGCAGCUAACGCAUUAAGCACUCCGCCUGGGGAGUACGGUCGCAAGACUGAAACUCAAAGGAAUUGACGGGGGCCCGCACAAGCGGUGGAGCAUGUGGUUUAAUUCGAAGCAACGCGAAGAACCUUACCAGGUCUUGACAUCCCGCUGACCGCCAUGGAGACAUGGCUUUCCCUUCGGGGACAGCGGUGACAGGUGGUGCAUGGUUGUCGUCAGCUCGUGUCGUGAGAUGUUGGGUUAAGUCCCGCAACGAGCGCAACCCUUGUCCUUAGUUGCCAUCAUUCAGUUGGGCACUCUAAGGAGGCUGCCGUACAAAUACGGAGGAAGGUGGGGAUGACGUCAAAUCAUCAUGCCCCUUAUGACCUGGGCUACACACGUGCUACAAUGGGUGGUACAAAGGGCAGCAAACCCGCGAGGGGGAGCGAAUCCCAAAAAGCCACUCUCAGUUCGGAUUGCAGG
rnacentral:rRNA from 1 species